rnacentral:rRNA from 1 species
CGUGGCGGGGGCUACCUGCAGUCGAGCGGAUGAGAAGAGCUUGCUCUUCGAUUCAGCGGCGGACGGGUGAGUAAUGCCUAGGAAUCUGCCUGGUAGUGGGGGACAACGUUUCUAAAGGAACGCUAAUACCGCAUACGUCCUACGGGAGAAAGCAGGGGACCUUCGGGCCUUGCGCUAUCAGAUGAGCCUAGGUCGGAUUAGCUAGUUGGUGAGGUAAUGGCUCACCAAGGCGACGAUCCGUAACUGGUCUGAGAGGAUGAUCAGUCACACUGGAACUGAGACACGGUCCAGACUCCUACGGGAGGCAGCAGUGGGGAAUAUUGGACAAUGGGCGAAAGCCUGAUCCAGCCAUGCCGCGUGUGUGAAGAAGGUCUUCGGAUUGUAAAGCACUUUAAGUUGGGAGGAAGGGCAGUAAGAUAAUACCUUGCUGUUUUGACGUUACCGACAGAAUAAGCACCGGCUAACUCUGUGCCAGCAGCCGCGGUAAUACAGAGGGUGCAAGCGUUAAUCGGAAUUACUGAGCGUAAAGCGCGCGUAGGUGGUUUGUUAAGUUGGAUGUGAAAGCCCCGGGCUCAACCUGCGAACUGCAUCCAAGACUGUCAAGCUAGAGUACGGUAGAGGGUGGGGGAAUUUCCUGUGUAGCGUUGACAUGCGUAGAUAUAGGAAGGACACCAGUGACGAAGGCGACCAGCCUGAACUGAUACUGACGCUGAGGUGCUGAAGCCUGUGGGGGAGCAAACAGGGAUAGAUACCCUGUUAGUCCACCGCCCGUAACGAAUGUCCACCUAGCCGAUGCAUCCUUGGAAUUUAAGUGUCGCAGCUAACGCAUAAGUUGACCGCCUGAGAGUACCGACGAAGGGUUA